UAUUGAUGGUUGUUAACAUUUUCUGAAACAAUUGCUGAUAUGAAAGACUAUUAAAAGUCCUGUUUCAAAAAUUGAGAUAAAGAUUUUGGAAAACAUAGAUACAUGUACAUCAUCGCUUAGCACUUUGAGAAAGAGAUAAUAAUAGAAUCAUAUUUACCCCAAACUAAUUCAUGGGUGAUUGAUGAAAACAUCAACCAUUGUUUCAUUUCAUAAAGCAACACUGGGUGAGCACUAAAUAGACGGAACCAAAUGAUGUGAGGUUCAUGAUGGGUUCAUCGUUUCCAUUCAGUUUACACACCAUACGAAGAGGAAAAAGAAGUUAUUAAAAAAGUACAAGCGAUGCCGUCAGUUGGAUAUAAAGAAACGAGAGCUAGUACGUAUUACCACACCACCACAAUUUAACCCGAUUAGGCAAACAUCAAGAGUCCUGCAAAGACCGAAUCAAUCGGUACAUGUCUCGCUGAAAAACUUUAUAGUUGAAUGUUGUCUCCAUUUCUUGUGAUAUGAGUUUCAAGUUUUGAUCUUUUUUAAAAUCGUCAUCAAUCAUUUCAUCAUUUCAUCUUUUUGUUUGUUUGUUUUUUUAAUUUUUAAACAAUAUCGAACUUUAAUUACUGGAGUUCAGCCGACUGGAGAUGUAAAAGUCUUUAUCGUUUUUUGUUGACAAUCAUACUCGAAAAAAAAGAAAUCAAAUCAGAAUUGAACACGAAGUAUGACCCGAAUUGCUCUAGUACACGUGAUGUCGUCAUGGCAAGAAAUUUUGGUGAUGUGGGUCUACUAAUCCAAUAAUAGCGACUUCCUUACUUAUUAAGAGACUUGAAGGCAGUUCAAAAUACCUGUGUCUGCUCACAUAUGCAGCUUCCGGAAUCUGUUUUCAUCCUACAUAUUCUUACCCUUCUACUACUCAUUCACUUUAUGUUUACCCUAGCAAAAUGAAGUAACAUUGUUUAAAAAGAAUUGGUCGAAAGCAUCAAGACUAUCAAGCUUAAAUACAUUCAGUAACGAAAUUAGUCAUAUAAAGUCUUUCGUAAUACACAAAUUUUUUAGCGCACACGUUAUUCCUGCUUAAAGCUCGUUUCUCUUCAUCCAUUUUACACAGAUAGUGUGAUCACGAAGAAUUACUAAUAAAACAUUGAGGCGUUAUGAGAUCUAUGUCGCUUCGCAAAACCGUAUCUUAGUACGACAUAAAGUUGCUUUUGGACUUGAACGUUGACUAAAUAAAUGUGUUGCCUGAUUGUACAUGAUAUAUUAUCAGCUUUGUCAAGGGAAAAACCGAGACCGAAGAAAGUUAAAACUGAGAGAAAUUCUAGAUAUGCUACUAUAAGUGCUCUUUGUCAUGAGAGAAACAUGAUUCUACGUGUCUGAUUCACGCAAAGGAUGCAUCAAUAUACCUUCUUUUAAUUACAGGAUGAUGCAUUUUUAAUUUGUUAUUGUUGUGAAUUCUAUGUCAACUGUUUGCUAAUAUAGGCGGCGCAGAGAUAUGAAAACCAAACCGUGACAAUACACCUAAGCUAAAAGGUCAACGCACGCCUAAACUAGCAGCUCAACUCAUGAUUGGACUAAUAAUUUAAAACUAAAACUAAAACCUAAACCUAUUUUACAAAUAAAACUCAUAAUUAGGCUAACAACCCUACCCAUCAACUAACGACUUGACGGUAUGCUAUUCCUUCUUUUUUUUAAAGCUUCACUACCAUCGAAAUAUAUAUAACAGUAGUAAAAUUGUAAACUUUUAUUUUUAUACCAUAGUAGUAUGGCUAUGAUUGGAAGGUUGUAGUGUCAGUCAAGUUGGAAAAACUGUUGGCACUUUUUUUCUGAAUCAAUGGAAUUCUUAUCAAACACAUGCAAACGUAUAAAGAAGACUUGAAUAGAUAAUCUUUGAAUUCAAACAAAUCCUAGUCAACUGAACAACGCAUCUACCUCAGCAGUCCUUGGGAAAUGUAUAAAUAGGCAAGCAUUAAACUUUUAUAUAUAAAACCAUCAAGAUCUCUAUUUUUAACUCGGUGGUUUCUUUCACAAGACUUACUUCAAGAACGACAACACAUCCUGACAGUUAAUUCAUUAAUACUAAUACUAUCGAGGAUUCUGUCAUCCAAGUGGAAUGAACAUGGGCAUCAAAGGAAUGUUUCCUCAAAGUGAGAACUAUAGUGUUGCAAGCGAAUACUUGGUCGCUUAGAACAAAACGAAUUACUGUCAUUAGGAUAUGCUCAAAAGUGUGGCGCUAUAUCUUGUAUCUAUUGCUACGUUCAUUCAUUGAUCCAACAGCAUGGGUAUAGAAAGAAGACGAUAAGCAGGAGUUGCGCAAACGAAGUUAUGGAGUUUCUUGCAUGCAUGCAUGUUUUGGCAUAAAGCUGGUACUUCGAAAUAUGCCUAUGAAAUCUCUACCUGCUUUGCACCCUAAAUAUAACGUGUCGUCUUGUAGCUGCAUGUGAAUUACAACGAUUGAUAGAUGAAAAACAAAUCGACUUGUUGCCCAUUUCAUCGUUUCAAACGACUGGUAGUGUUGCUUGUGUCCAUAUCCAUGCUGUGUCCAUAUCCAUACUAUGUCCGUGUGUUUUGCUUUAUUACACUUGGUCAAAGAAAUCUAUAUGAUGUUCUUUACGAAACCCACAAAGUCAUUAGGGAUAUCAUUCGAACAGAAGGGUAUGUAUGCAAAAUACACUACAAGGACUAAGCCCAAGCACCGUAUUGUUUCAGUCUCGAAGUAAUUCUAUGUACCCGUGCAUUGGAGAUGCGUUUAAUUAACAUGGUGCGAUUGGACUUGAGUGAGCUGACAGCACUGUAUGAGGGUCUGUUUGCCAAGAUUCAGGACUUGUUGAAAGAGUUAUUACAACUACAACUAUAACUAUAACUACAACUAUAACUACAACGAUAAGAACUAUCACUACUCUGAAGACAACGAUGUGUUUUCUCAAGAUGAUAACGGAUCUAGCUUCGCCAUCAAUAAGUAUGAGACAAAGGAGUCCAUCUUUGAUGAAACAUCCAUUUUCCUGUUGUACAUUUUUGCAGGACAACUAGCCUGAGCACAAGAGACAUGGUGUACUAGACCUUGUGCGGAAUGUCUACUUCAAAACUUGCAUCUUUAUAUCUGAUAUAUAGAGAUAUAGAGAUAUAGAGAUAUAGAGAGAGGCUGAUGAUUUAUAAACACAAACGAUAAGACUUGUAACAUGAAGUUUGUCGAAAAAGUCAAUCUUUAAAUUCCUUUCUGAACCUCUCUGUUAUGUCAGUGCUUCGGUAUUAUGCUUUAAUGCAGUCACUUGAGGCGUUGUCCUAAUAGGUGCAAAGUUACCGUAUAUUUAGGUUUCAUGUUUGUGAUUACUGGAGAACGACUGUGAAGAGACCAACCGUAUCGUGUUUUUUCCAAUUGUGAUCUUCCAAUGCUUAAUAAAUACGAAAUCUUAUUUCGAUUUACAGGCUGGGCAUUCACGAAACAUAGCGUUUUUACAUUUCUACAGGC
rnacentral:lncRNA from 1 species